rnacentral:rRNA from 1 species
GAUCCUGGCUCAGGAUGAACGCUAGCUACAGGCUUAACACAUGCAAGUCGAGGGGCAUCAGUUUGGUUUGCUUGCAAACCAAGGCUGGCGACCGGCGCACGGGUGAGUAACACGUAUCCAACCUGCCUCAUACUCGGGGAUAGCCUUUCGAAAGAAAGAUUAAUAUCCGAUAGCAUAUAUUUCCCGCAUGGGUUUUAUAUUAAAGAAAUUCGGUAUGAGAUGGGGAUGCGUUCCAUUAGUUUGUUUGGGGGGG